GUAUUUUACCUCUCCUGUCAUUUCUGGAAAUGACUUGGCAGAGCAACUAGCAGGUGUCUCAGCAGAGCAAGAAGUUACAUGUAUCGAUGGAGGCAAGACCCUCCCCAAACAGCCAUCUCCCCAGAAGUCUGAGCCUCUGCUACCUUCUGCUUCUAUGGAUGAGGAAGAAGGGGACACUUGUACAAUAUGUCUGGAACAGUGGACCAAUGCUGGGGACCACCGGCUCUCAGCAUUACGCUGUGGGCAUCUCUUUGGGUAUAGGUGCAUUUCCACGUGGCUUAAAGGACAAGUACGAAAAUGUCCCCAGUGCAACAAGAAAGCCAGGCACAGUGACAUUGUCGUCCUUUAUGCCCGAACCCUGAGAGCUUUGGACACUAGUGAACAGGAGCGCAUGAAAAGUUCCCUACUGAAGGAACAGAUGCUAAGGAAACAGGCCGAGUUAGAAUCAGCACAGUGCCGACUCCAACUGCAGGUCCUCACUGAUAAGUGCACUA
rnacentral:lncRNA from 1 species